rnacentral:lncRNA from 1 species
GUGAAUCAGGCAAACAUGGCAAGCAUCCUUGCAAAAUGAAGUCAUUUUGGAAUUUUCAUGAGAAACACAUAAUUCCAAAAUCCCACCAACUCCUUUUAAUCAAACUUAAUUAAAGACUAAAUGGCGUCCUUGAAACAGGUCACAAAUAAGAGUAAUUUUUAACAUAUUAAGCUUAGUUCUUAAAUCUAAAUGCGACAAUUGGAGCAAUUUUUAACAUAUUAAGCUUAGUUCUUAAAUCUAAAUGCGACAAUUGGAGCAAUGUUUAACAUAUUAUGAAUAGCUUUUAUAUAAACAAGAUUUUCUGAGAUAAAGUGAGUGCAAUGUGAAACUGCAAAAUGCCACCAGAGUUAAUCCUUGGUUAGACAUCUACUUCUCCUUUAUCAUUCAUCAAAUUAAUC